CCUACGGGAGGCUGCAGUGAGGAAUAUUGGUCAAUGGGCGCGCGCCUGAACCAGCCAAGUCGCGUGAAGGAUGACUGCCCUACGGGUUGUCAACUUCUUUUAUACAGGAAUAAAGUGAGGCACGUGUGCCUUUUUGUAUGUACUUUAUGAAUAAGGAUCGGCUAACUCCGUGCCAGCAGCCGCGGUAAUACGGCGGAUCCGCGCGUUAUCCGGCUUUAUUGGGUUUAAAGGGAGCGUAGAUGGGUUGUUAAGUCAGUUGUGAAAGUUUGCGGCUCAACCGUAAAAUUGCAAUUGAUACUGGCAGUCGUGAGUACAGUUGAGGUAGGCGGAAUUCGUGGUGUAGCGGUGAAAUGCUUAGAUAGCACGAAGAACUCCGAUUGCGAAGGCAGCUUACUAAACUGCCACUGACAUUGAUGCUCGAAAGUGUGGGUAUCAAACAGGAUUAGAUACCCUGGUAGUC
rnacentral:rRNA from 1 species